CUUGCCUUGAAUAUAAACCAAUAUUUAGUUUAUUUUCACUUUUCCAUGUAUUUUUAGUAUAUGGCGAUUUGGGUACAUUCUCCCUCUAGAAUGAAAUUAUUGUCCUUCAUUUGGAAAAAAGAAAAUGAAAUUUGCUGGGACACUGAAAUACACAGACUAUUAUAAUACCCUCAAGGGAAGAAAGUUAAAUGGCAAUUACACUGGGGAUCUACAGUGAAGACUCUCCCUGCAUCCUGGAUCUGCCUCCUCCACUGCGGCCCUCUUGAGAACAGAGAGAAUCCUAUAUAUGCAGGGCCACAGAUUGACCUGCCAGUCAAGGUGUGUUUCCGACUCUCCCCUUCAUCCACCGAAAAAGUUUUCAGUGUGACACUUGAAUAUGAUCAACUUACUGCCAGUCCUGAAAUGAUUUCCAAACAGUGUUUUCAAUUUCAGUCUUAAAUGUUGACAGCAGAGAAUGAAACAAACAAUAUCUAGACACAAAUCUUAAUAAAUAUGUU
rnacentral:lncRNA from 1 species